rnacentral:rRNA from 1 species
CCUACGGGAGGCAGCAGUGGGGAAUUUUGGACAAUGGGGGCAACCCUGAUCCAGCCAUGCCGCGUGCGGGAAGAAGGCCUUCGGGUUGUAAACCGCUUUUGUCAGGGAAGAAAUCCUUUGAACUAAUACUUCGGAGGGAUGACGGUACCUGAAGAAUAAGCACCGGCUAACUACGUGCCAGCAGCCGCGGUAAUACGUAGGGUGCAAGCGUUAAUCGGAAUUACUGGGCGUAAAGCGUGCGCAGGCGGUUAUGCAAGACAGAUGUGAAAUCCCCGGGCUCAACCUGGGAACUGCAUUUGUGACUGCAUAGCUAGAGUACGGUAGAGGGGGAUGGAAUUCCACGUGUAGCAGUGAAAUGCGUAGAUAUGUGGAGGAACACCGAUUGGCGAAGGCAAUCCCCCUGGACCUGUACUGACGCUCAAUGCACGAAAGCGUUGGGGAGCAAACAGGAUUUAGAUACCCCUGGUAGUCCACGCCCUAAACGAUGUCAACUGGUUGUUGGGAGGGUUUCCUUCUNAGUACGUAGCUACGCGUGAGUUGACCGCCGUGGGGAGGUACGGACGGCGUAACGGUAGUAACGUUAACGAACGUAGUUAGUUAGUAGGCGNGNGAGAGCGACGACGACGACGAGGAGGAGGNG